GAGGAACGCGGGCGGCGUGCCUAAUACAUGCAAGUCGAGCGAACAGACGAGGAGCUUGCUCCUCUGACGUUAGCGGCGGACGGGUGAGUAACACGUGGAUAACCUACCUAUAAGACUGGGAUAACUUCGGGAAACCGGAGCUAAUACCGGAUAAUAUAUUGAACCGCAUGGUUCAAUAGUGAAAGACGGUUUUGCUGUCACUUAUAGAUGGAUCCGCGCCGCAUUAGCUAGUUGGUAAGGUAACGGCUUACCAAGGCAACGAUGCGUAGCCGACCUGAGAGGGUGAUCGGCUACACUGGAACUGAGACACGGUCCAGACUCCUACGGGAGGCAGCAGUAGGGAAUCUUCCGCAAUGGGCGAAAGCUUGACGGAGCAACGCCGCGUGAGUGAUGAAGGUCUUCGGAUCGUAAAACUCUGUUAUUAGGGAAGAACAAAUGUGUAAGUAACUAUGCACGUCUUGACGGUACCUAAUCAGAAAGCCACGGCUAACUACGUC
rnacentral:rRNA from 1 species